rnacentral:lncRNA from 1 species
GCUGGGAUGUAGCCUGGGCAGCAGAAUCCUUACUUAGAAUGCCUUUUAAAUCUCCUGCAAGACAAACUUAGUAUGUGAUGGUUCUCAAGGUAGAAGUAGAAGCAUUGGAAGUUCUGUUCACCCUGUGCUGUGCAGGCCAGCUUGAGUUACUGAAACCUAUCACCAAAGGAAGAAAGAAAGAAAGAAAGAAAGAAAGAAAGAAAGAAAGAAAGAAAGAAAGAAAGAAGAGAAGAGAAGAGAAGAGAAGAGAAGAGAAGAGAAGAGAAGAGAAGAGAAGAGAAGAGAAGAGAAAGAAAAAAUAUAGCAGGUAACACAGUUUAGCUGCUGACUUCUGCACAUACACAUUUGUGAAACACUGCUUAGUAAUAUUACUUUACCUGCGCACUGCUCAGUGGUCUAUUUCUGCCUCCAUCAGUUUUCUCCCACACUCAGUCAGCUUGCUUUCUCGAAAAUUUUUGUGCUGAGUGGGAACCCCCUAGGAACCCCUUGUAUGCAGGAAAGGAGAAAUGCAGUGAGGCCUCUUUUCUUUUGCUAGUUGGGCAUCGAAGCUGCCCUUUUGCAGAGCUAAUUUACAACUUAAUUAUGCUUUUAACUUUUCAUUAACUUAGGGAUACUUGGCAUUCUUAAGCCGUGGCUUGAUUAUUGUUAAGUAUAGAUGUUCCCUGUGGUCUACCAUACAAUUUCCCCCAUGAUUUCCAUGUUUUCCCUUGCCCCAGGCCCCCAGCUUUUUGCCAUGGUGGCUUAUCAUCAAUGAUGGUGUGGCAGGAAUGGUAACUUUCAAGCUGGGCUACAACCAAGUGUCUAAUUUUCUAAUAAAUGCCUAUUUUCAUUAAAAUAUUAUUUCUAAACUUCUGAUGCCAGGGUACUUACACAGCCUUUAAAGUAUUAGCUUUUAGGUAAAACAGAUCUUCAAGUUUAGUAACAGAAAAAGUAUAUUUGGCCUUGGGUAAACCUGGCAUUGUGAAUCAUCCCUCUUGAUGGCAAAGACUUGGAGGAAGGAGUGAGGUUCCUAGAGAGGAAGCUCAGAGUGGUGACAAACCAGCUUUCCUGACAGACAAUGUGUUUCAUCACGAGGCAUAGGCUGUCUUAGCUUUCAGAGACUUGGCUGUGGCUACAAUGUAGGAGGACAGGAAAUAGGGUCCUAGGAAAAUAAAUACCAAAGAUGAUGCCCUUUCCUAUACAUGUCUGGUGGACUAAUAAUAUCCCCCAGUUGUCUGUGUGCCUGUCUGCCUGUCUGCCUGCCUGCCUCCUUCCUUCCUUCCUUCCUUCCUUCCUUCCUUCCUUCCUUCCUUCCUUCCUUCCUUUCUUCCUUCCUCCCUUCGGUUGUUUUUUUGAGACAGGAUUUCUCUGUGUAGCAUUAACUGUCCUGGAACUUGCUCUGUAGACCAGGCUGGGACAGAAGAUUGGGACAAUUCAAGUGGUUGGGACAAAAGGCAUGCUCCACCACCACCUGGCUUUUAUUUUUCCUGUUACUAAUAUCUAUUGUUUCUUGGGCUCCAACCAUGGUAGUCAUUGUUAUUUGUUGCAGGCAAAUAACUAUUCUUAUUUAUUAUUUGCAGACAGGCUUGGAGAGUUUGCCCUUUCAGUUCAAGGGCCCCAUGUGGUCAGUGGGAAGCAGUAUUCAAACUUACAGUCUGAAUGCAAUCAACAGAGUUGUCAAGAUAUUAUGUUAGUCAGUUCUUUGCUUCCACUUUAUGAAUCUCAAGCUUUGAACUCAGGUUGACAGACUUGGUGGCUUUUUCCCACUGAGCUAUCUCAGUGGCCCCUAAAAGGACAUAUUGUAAAAGAUACUCAGGAGUAGUUGACAUUCUGUUUAGAAAUGGUUUCAUUUGUUACUGCUGACAAAACAGUUUCUAAUCACACCAUCAACCCAACACUUUCAAUCAAGCAAUGAUUUGAUUUCUACUUAAACAGGUGUCAUUUGAAGAGCCAAAACCAAUAUAGUAUGUUGAAAAGUCUCUGCUGGUUGCUUAAGGGACGUUUUUUAAUUACAUAGCAGUGAAAGCCAAAGUAAGCAGAAAUUAGUAAUUCCACGUUUAAGAUCUCAAGGGUACUGGGGACUCUUAACCUCAGAAUUUAUCAUAAAAAUAUUUAACCACUGCUCUUAAAAAUAGAAUUGUGGUACUCAACAUGGAGGGAGGUUUUAAUUAAGCACACUUAUUGGACUUGGUAUUUUAAACAUGGCUCCUAUGUUUCCUAAAUGCAUUUAUAUCAUAACUAACUCAGUGUCUUAGGAAGCAAUGUUCAUCACCUCAGAGGCUGGUCAUUCAGCAUGCUGUGUAAAAAGUAGUUAGCAUUUGGCUCUACUGCAAAUGAGCAUUUCUCUGACCUUCUUUUCUUAAGGCGGUGCUGUUAGGAAACUUGCUGGGUUUUGUUUUUGUUUAUUUAUUUUAUGUAUAUUAGAAUACACUGUAGCUAUCUUCAGACACACCAGAAGAGAGAUUGGAUCCCAUUACAGAUGGUUGUGAGCCACCAUAGGUUGCUGGGAAUUGAACUCAGGACCUCUGGAAGAGCAGUCAGUGCUCUUAACUGCUGAGCCAUCUCUCCAGCUCAAAACUGGCUGUUGUUAAUAAGCGAUUUAUUAUUUGAAGGUUAAGACAACUAGCUUAAAAGUAGAUGAUCCAUGCUUUAAAUGAUUACCAACUCAUGAAGUAUAAUUAUGUUGAGCAAGCCAAAAAAUUGGACCUGGCAGUUUCUGGAUGGCCACAAGAGUGUGGACUAAGAAACCAGAGUGCCUGGUGAACACAAAAAAGUACUGAACCAUCUAGGGCCUCGGAUUUUUUGUGAAAUUAGAGCAGUAAUUGCUAUCUACCCAAGAGAGCUGUUUUGAGGGUGAAGCAUGUCAGUGUAAAUCAGUUAUUCAGAAUAGUGUCUAGUGUUCAAAACUCACUAUUGUAGUCACUGUAAUAGAAGACUGUAUUAUUAUAAUCUUCAGACAGUAAUUCCUGGUUAUGAAAACUUUAUAUUAAUUUAAUUGAGUGAUAGAGUUAGGACCUUGAAGGCAAGUCCUCAAAGUAGUUUUCAAACUACAGAUGUAUUGAUACUGCCCUAGGGUAGGAAUGAGCUGUCUAUGGGAAGAUGUGUUGGUACUGUGCCCUCUUCAGAUGCUGUAGUUCUUCCCACUGUCAUUCUUGUGAUGGUAUCAGAAUCAGGCCUACCCAGAAAACAGUCACACAGGGAAUAAUGGAGUAAUGGUACAACUUCCCUCUUGAUAAAAUAGUGGUUGAGUAUUUAAUUUACCC